CAAUGGGGGAAACCCUGNAUGCAGCGACGCCGCGUGGAGGAAGAAGGUCUUCCGAUUGUAAACUCCUGUUGUUGAGGAAGAUAAUGACGGUACUCAACAAGGAAGUGACGGCUAACUACGUGCCAGCAGCCGCGGUAAAACGUAGGUCACAAGCGUUGUCCGGAAUUACUGGGUGUAAAGGGAGCGCAGGCGGGAGAACAAGUUGGAAGUGAAAUCCAUGGGCUCAACCCAUGAACUGCUUUCAAAACUGUUUUUCUUGAGUAGUGCAGAGGUAGGCGGAAUUCCCGGUGUAGCGGUGGAAUGCGUAGAUAUCGGGAGGAACAUCAGUGGCGAAGGCGGCUUACUGGGCUUUAACUGACGCUGAGGCUCGAAAGCGUGGGGAGCAAACAGGAUUAGAUACCCUGGUAGUCCAAGGGCGAAUUC
rnacentral:rRNA from 1 species